rnacentral:rRNA from 1 species
GUAGGUGGCAAGCGUUGUCCGGAAUUAUUGGGCGUAAAGCGCGCGCAGGCGGUUCUUUAAGUCUGAUGUGAAAGCCCACGGCUCAACCGUGGAGGGUCAUUGAAAACUGGAGAACUUGAGUACAGAAGAGGAAAGCGGAAUUCCACGUGUAGCGGUGAAAUGCGUAGAGAUGUGGAGGAACACCAGUGGCGAAGGCGGCUUUCUGGUCUGUAACUGACGCUGAGGCGCGAAAGCGUGGGGAGCAAACAGGAUUAGAUACCCUGGUAGUCCACGCCGUAAACGAUGAGUGCUAAGUGUUAGGGGGUUUCCGCCCCCCUUAGUGCUGCAGCUAACGCAUUAAGCACUCCGCCUGGGAGUACGGCCGCAAGGCUG